GGGUGUUUGGUUUAGUGGUAUAACGGCUGAUCCGCAUUCAGCAGGCCCGGGGUUCGAUUCCCCGAACAUCCA
rnacentral:tRNA from 1 species